rnacentral:piRNA from 1 species
UGAUGAGCACGAGUCUGUCUGGCACUCC